rfam:Ixodes scapularis strain Wikel colony gcontig_1108378723016, whole genome shotgun sequence.
ACCGUCUUUAUCUUGGGGAGCACGGCCGUCCGAGGAUCGAAAAGUGAGGGCGGCCCUGCUGACACCAAAACACAACACUCCGCGCCGCUCGGCUGACAGCUGGGUUGGUGCAAUUUUUGGACCC